AAAGCACUAGUAUACUCAUUACACUGUCUUGUCAAGACAAAAAAGCAGAUUAAAACUCUGCGUACUUUA
rnacentral:tRNA from 1 species